CUUAGGUACUGUGAAACUUUAACUUGGCUUAUUUUCACUUUUCAUUCCAUCUCUUCUCGAGUAAUACCCGGGUCUUCAAGUGUCAAACGCACUAAUUCUUCAAUUACCCGUUCUUUAUUUAGUUGUCUUGCAUUAGGUUUGUCUAAGUUGAAAUCACCUUUCUCGAAGCUUUGAUACCAUUUAUAACAUGUUUGACGGGAUAUAAUAUCCACUCUAUAAACGUAUGAGAGUAUUCGGUGGGCCUCACCGGCGGAUUUUUUACUAUUAAAAUAAUAAAGUAACACUUCCCGCCAAUGACGAGUAGUUGGUUUAUAAUCUGACGUUUCUAAUUUGAAAUAACUAUAUGAUGUAAACACAAGUCAACUACUGAUGCUAUCAAGUUAUGAUCACAAAAUGUUAAAGAGUACUUCAAGCCGUUUAUAAUGAGGAGUUCACUAACUUCGGACGGCACCUAGCACUAGCCACUCAUAUAUCUUAAAAAAUAAUAAUCCAAAACAGAUGAAACGUGUGGUACAGGAUCAUACGAUCCAGUUUAUCAAUGACGUUUAAGGCAAUAUCAGGACCAGCUGAUUUCUGUUUCGGCAGGAAAACACUGCAUCGUCCAAGAUUCAGAUGAAAAACAGUCCUUUAACGCUGGACAGUGAAAACUGCAUUGAAGAUAGCAAAAGAAAAGUACGAGCAACAAACCAAAGACGUGAAGGCUAAAGGAAGAAGUGAACUAGAGGGGAAACAAGUCAAAGGAGUAAAAGCUGAGGGAAAAAGUGGAGAUAGAGAUAAGAAAAAACAGCCACUGUCUGAGAUAUCUGAAAUUGAAAGAACUAUUUGCGUAGUGUGCUUAGCGAACUACGACGAAGACUGUAUACAGUGUUACAACUGGUAUUGGUAAGCUCAUGAAGCAUGUGCAGACAUUUCUGAAUGUUCAUCAUAUGUGAUCGAUGCCGGAUGAUUUAAAAAUUUGCGGUGCUAGUUGUUCGAAGUGAAAUCUGUCUGUUACUAGGUGACACUUCCAGCGAUUGUAUAUUUUGACACCAAAGUUUAAUUCUUAUUUUUAAAUUUGUUUAUGCAGAAGUUUUUCGGGAUGUGUGCAAAAUUAAAAUGUCUAUUUAGAUUUCGUAAGAUUAGAAAAAUAAGCACACGAAUCACUUUAAAAUAUAGUUUGGAAGUUAUUUUUAAUAAUAUUUGAAAGAUUUCGUUUUAAUACAUGUGCCAUUGAUAUAUUAGAUCUACCGGAAAAUACUGUCCAUUUUGAAAAUGAAAUAAAAUAAUAAAUUAUUCAUCAUUUAAACAAUUAAUACUAUGGCGUCCGGUGGCUCCACGUUGGUGCCAUUCGAAAACUUUUGGAUAAGUGCCCCUGGCUCCACUUUGGUGCUAUUCAGAAAUUAUUGCGCAACUGCGAUAUACUUAUAUAUAUAUAAUAAUAUAUAAUAAUAUAAAUACCAGCGCGACAGGAAAAAAUCUAGAUUAGACGUGCGGACGGCAUAGUGUUAAUUACUUUAAUUACUUUUGAACUAUUGCCAACAUGGUGGCAAUUUGUAUAUAUUCCAUUUUAAGAAAUGGGGCCUUACCCCCUAGUGACGAAAAAUUGAACUAAUGUUUGUUUGAACUGACAAAAUUUCCAGUAGACUUUAUAUUUAUUAGAAAAGUUUCUGACUUCUCUCUCUUUUAAUAAUUGCGGUAAUCUAAUAUGCAUAAUAUGCAAACUCAUAGAAAAUGUAAUUACAAUCUCCGGCAAGUUGCAACACAAUGUAAGAUAAACUUAGAAACGAACAAAAUGAAAAGUUAAUUGAAUUAUCUUAAUGUAAAUGAAGGAUUGUUUUACUUUUGGUUGAAUAAAAUUAACCGUAGUC